rnacentral:lncRNA from 1 species
AACUGAGGAAUCCCUGGGUGUUUCUAUGCCCACGUUGACUGGUAGUUUCCAAGGUUGGCACCCUUGAAGGGCUGUGGACUAGAGUUGUCUGUCUUUGGUAGGGCAGUUUCUGAAGGGAGCUUGAUACCUGAGGGCCACUUGCCGGUAGCACUUCUAGCAACUGAAGAAUCCUUUCCUAUAAGGGGACCUGGGAUCUAUAUCUUAGUACAUAUGACUUUUUGUGACAUUAACUAAAGGGAAGAAAAUGCCUAUGGAUUGGGGGCAUAGGGAGUAAGAAGAAAUGAAACAAUUAGGCAAUUUCAAAUUUUAAUAGGAGAGAUUUUAAGUAAAACAGAGUUUCCUCUGAAUAAGAAGACAUGACUCUCAGAGACCCCGUGAGAUUAAAUUAAGACCUGGGAAUAUAGCUCAGUGGCAGAAUGUGUGCUUUGCAUGUGUAAGCCUUUGCAUUCUGUCUUUAGCAACACACACACACACAAAUCCAUAUCUAUAGACAUGCACACAGUAAUGCACAAACAAAUACACACAGAAAAAAAAGAUUUAAUUAAGAGCAUUCUGGCUCUAAAGGCAGUUAACUAAUAGUUUUUAACUUUCUAGAUAUUAAAACUCUAGGCUAAAUAUACAGCUUAUUGGUAGAAAAUUUGCCUAACAUGAAAGGCCUUUUAUUCAAUCCCAAAACACACACACACACACACACACACACACACACACACAUCACUACCUCACAAAACAAACAAACAAACAAACAAACAAACAAAUGGAUUUUUGCUCAUUCUAUAAACAUU